GGGGCAGCGCGAGGUAGCAAUACUUUGGCGGCGACCGGCAAACGGGUGCGGAACACGUACGCAACCUUCCUCAAAGCGGGGGAUAGCCUCUCGAAAGAGAGAUUAAUACCCCAUAGUAUCGUCAGAAGGCAUCUGAAGACGAUUAAAGCUCCGGCACUUUGAGAUGGGCGUGCGGCUGAUUAGGUAGUUGGUAGGGUAACGGCCUACCAAGCCGACGAUCAGUAGCUGAUGUGAGAGCAUGAUCAGCCACACGGGCACUGAGACACGGGCCCGACUCCUACGGGAGGCAGCAGUGAGGAAUAUUGGUCAAUGGAGGCAACUCUGAACCAGCCAUGCCGCGUGAAGGAUGAAGGUCCUCUGGAUUGUAAACUUCUUUUAUAGAAGAAGAAACCCCAUUUUUCUAAAUGGGUUGACGGUACUCUAUGAAUAAGCACCGGCUAACUCCGUGCCAGCAGCCGCGGUAAUACGGAGGGUGCAAGCGUUAUCCGGAUUCACUGGGUUUAAAGGGAGCGUAGGUGGGCUUGUAAGUCAGUGGUGAAAUCUCCGAGCUUAACUUGGAAACUGCCAUUGAUACUAUUAGUCUUGAAUUCUGUGGAGGUAAGCGGAAUAUAUCAUGUAGCGGUGAAAUGCUUAGAUAUGAUAUAGAACACCGAUAGCGAAGGCAGCUUACUACGCAGGUAUUGACACUGAGGCUCGAAAGCGUGGGGAUCAAACAGGAUUAGAUACCCUGGUAGUCCACGCCCUAAACUAUGGAUACUCGACAUCAGCGAUACACAGUUGGUGUCUGAGCGAAAGCAUUAAGUAUCCCACCU
rnacentral:rRNA from 1 species